UCCAGUUGAUCCUGCUGGAGGCUACUGCUAUUGGAGUUCGAUUAAGCCAUGCAUAUCGAGGUGUUCGGAAGGACACCUGGUAAAAAGCUCAGUAACACGUGGACAACUUACCUUCAAGAGGGGGAUAACUUCGGGAAACUGAGGAUAAUACCCCAUAGCUUAGAUGUUCUGGAAUGACGCUAAGUAAAAUGUGUUACCCUAUUCCGGGUAAAUUUCGCUUGAAGAAGGGUCUGCGUCGGAUUAGGUUGAUGUUAAGGUAAUGGCCUAACAUGCCCACAAUCCGUACCGGCUAUGAAAGUAGGAGCCGGGAGAUGGAUACUGAGACAAGGAUCCAGGCUCUACGGAGCGCAGCAGGCGCGAAAACUCCGCAAUGCGCGCAAGCGUGACGGGGGAACUCCAAGUGCCUCUCAAAAGAGAGGUUUUUGUAAUAUGUAAAAAGUAUUUCGAAUAAGGACUGGUCAAGACUAGUGCCAGCCUCCGCGGUAAAACUAGCAGUUCGAGUGGUAGCCACGAUUAUUGGGCUUAAAGCGUUCGUAGCCGGCUUAAUAAGUUCUCUGUGAAAUCCUUGGGCUUAACUUAAGGGCUUGCAGAGAAUACUAUUUCGCUUGGAGUUGGGAGAAGUCAAGGGAACUACUAGGGUAGCGGUGAAAUGCUAUAAUCCUAGUAGGACCGCCAAUGGCGAAGGCACUUGACUAGAACAAGCUCGACGGUGAGGAACGAGAGCUAGGGGAGCGAACCGGAUUAGAUACCCGGGUAGUCCUAGCUGUAAACGAUGUGGACUGAGUGUUUCCCGAACUUAGGGUUCGGGAAGUGCUGAAGGGAAACCGUUAAGUCCACCGCCUGGGGAGUACGGUCGCAAGGCUGAAACUUAAAGGAAUUGGCGGGGGAGCACCACAAGGGGUGGAGUCUGCGGUUUAAUUGGAUACAACGCCGGGAAACUUACCAGGGACGACGGCACAAUGAAGGCCAAUCUGAAGGGUUUGCCGAAGGAGCCGAGAGGUAGUGCAUGGCCGUCGUCAGCUCGUACCGUGAGGCGUGCGGUUAAGUCCGUUAACGAGCGAGACCUGUGCUUCUAUUUGCUACUCUUCUAGAGGCACUAUAGAAGGACCGCCUCCGAUGAGGAGGAGGAAGGUGCAGGCGACGAUAGGUCAGUAUGCUCCGAAUUUCCUGGGCUACACGUGGACUACAAUGGCAUGAACAAUGAGUUGCGACUUCGAAAGAAGAAGCUAACCCCCAAAUCAUGCCUCAGUUCGAAUUGAGGGUUGAGACCCACUCUCAUGAAGGUGAAAUCCCUAGUAAUCGCUGUUUACCAUACAGCGGUGAAUAUGUCCCCGCUCCUUGCACACACCGCCCGUCAAACCAAUUGAGUGAGCUUAGGAUGAGGCUUUUUCAUUCGGGAAAGUCAAAUUCUAGGUUUGCAAGAGGGGUUAAGUCGUAACAAGGUA
rnacentral:rRNA from 1 species